UACAGAGGUCUCAAGCGUUGUUCGGAUUCAUUGGGCGUAAAGGGUGCGUAGGCGGCGCGGUAAGUCGGGUGUGAAAUCUUGGAGCUUAACUCCGAAACUGCAUUCGAUACUGCCGUGCUUGAGGACUGGAGAGGAGACUGGAAUUUACGGUGUAGCGGUGAAAUUCGUAGAUAUUGGGAAGAACACCGGUGGCGAAGGCGGCGAGCUGGUCCAUUACUGACGCUGAGGCGCGACAGCGUGGGGAGGCAAACAGG
rnacentral:rRNA from 1 species